GGUGAUGAGGGAAAGUUGAUGAGGGAGAGGUCAGGGGAUUUAUUAUUGGUUGAGAAGGGGCUAUUUUGAUAAUGGUUUGUCAUGGGUUAUAUUCCUCAGGUUUAUUUUGUUUGGGAAAUUUAA